GGAAGUUUCACUGCCCGGCCCUGUGGCCUGCGUUCUGUCUAACGCAGCUGUCUGUGCAGCUCCCGGGAGGGCCUCGCUCCUGUCCUCCGGAGCGGGCUGUGCGGAGGCAGCCGGGAGAACAGUCGGCUCCGAGGACAAGAGUGAUGGGAGCGCCCCGGCCCCGCGGAAUCCAUCAUUCCGGAGGGAACCUUCGGCAGGCUUCAUUAGGCUCGAAACGAUCAUGAAUAUCCUCCCCUCACCUGUUCUCAUUAAUAAUGGCUCCCCUCUUA